rnacentral:rRNA from 1 species
GACGAACGCUGGCGGCGUGCUUAACACAUGCAAGUCGAACGGAAAGGCCCUGCUUGCAGGGUACUCGAGUGGCGAACGGGUGAGUAACACGUGGGUGAUCUGCCCUGCACUUCGGGAUAAGCCUGGGAAACUGGGUCUAAUACCGGAUAGGAGCCAUUUUUAGUGUGAUGGUUGGAAAGUUUUUUCGGUGUAGGAUGAGCUCGCGGCCUAUCAGCUUGUUGGUGGGGUAAUGGCCUACCAAGGCGGCGACGGGUAGCCGGCCUGAGAGGGUGGACGGCCACAUUGGGACUGAGAUACGGCCCAGACUCCUACGGGAGGCAGCAGUGGGGAAUAUUGCACAAUGGGCGCAGGCCUGAUGCAGCGACGCCGCGUGGGGGAUGACGGCAUUCGGGUUGUAAACUCCUUUCGCUAGGGACGAAGCUUUUUGUGACGGUACCUAGAUAAGAAGCACCGGCUAACUACGUG